rnacentral:rRNA from 1 species
GACGAACGCUGGCGGCGUGCUUAACACAUGCAAGUCAAGGAGAAAAGGAAUCUUCGGAAUCCUGAGUAAACUGGCGAACGGGUGAGUAACACGUAGGUAACCUACCUAUAAGUCUGGGAUAACCUUGCUAACGCGGGGCUAAUACCGGAUAAUAUUUUCUGGUCACAUGAUCGGAAAAUCAAAGCUGUCUUCGGGUAGCACUUAUGGAUGGACCUGCGCCCCAUUAGCUAGUUGGUAGGGUAGCAGCCUACCAAGGCGACGAUGGGUAGCCGGCCUGAGAGGGUGAUCGGCCACACUGGGACUGAGAUACGGUCCAGACUCCUACGGGAGGCUG